GUCUAUGGCCAUGUCACCCUGAACAAGCCCAAUCCCAUCAGAUCUCAGACAGCUUAAGCAGGGUCAGACAUGGUUAGUGCUUGGAUGGGAGACCUCUUAGGAAGACCAGGUGCUGCAGGCA
rnacentral:rRNA from 1 species